rnacentral:ncRNA from 1 species
UCGAGCCGUAUGCGGGGAAAGCUCGCACGUACGGUUCCUCGGGGGCCGCGUUUCCGCAAGGAAACGCGGCUACCCAAU